ACGAACGCUGGCGGCUGCUUAACACAUGCAAGUCGAACGGAGUGGCGAACGGGUGAGUACCGCGUGAGCAACCUGCCUAUGACAGUGGGAUAGCCUCGGGAAACCGGGAUUAAUACAGCAUAGUAAUAGAUGGGCUCGAGUCUGAUUAGCUAGUUGGUGAGAUAACAGCCCACCAAAGCGACGAUCAGUAGCCGGUCUGAGAGGAUGAACGGCCACAUUGGAGCGAGGACACAGUCCAAACUCCUACGGGAGGCAGCAGUGGGGAAUAGUGCACAAUGGGGGAAACCCUGAUGCCGCGACGCCGCGUGAACGAAGAAGGUAUUCGUAUCGUAAAGUUCUGUCCUAUGGGAAGCAGUACCAUAGAAGAAAGCUCCGGCUAACUACGUGCCAGCAGCCGCGGUAAUAC
rnacentral:rRNA from 1 species